GUCGAGGAUCUUUCGCAAUGGGCGCAAGCCUGAUGACGCAACGCCGCGUGGAGGAUGAAGGUCUUCGGAUUGUAAACUCCUGUUGCCCGGGACGAAAAGCUCCGACCUAACACGUUGGAGUCUGACGGUACCGGGUGAGGAAGCCCCGGCUAACUCUGUGCCAGCAGCCGCGGUAAUACAGAGGGGGCGAGCGUUGUUCGGAAUUACUGGGCGUAAAGGGUGCGUAGGUGGCAUGGCAAGUUUGAUGUGAAAGCUCAGGGCUCAACCCUGAAAUGGCAUUGAAUACUGCUGUGCUGGAGGUUUGGAGAGGGUCGCGGAAUUCCCGGUGUAGCGGUGAAAUGCGUAGAGAUCGGGGGGAACACCAGAGGCGAGGGCGGCGACCUGGACAAGCACUGACACUCAACUGCGAAAGCGUGGGGAGCAAACAGGAUUAGAUACCCUGGUAGUCCACGCCGUAAACGAUGGGUACUAGGUUUGGUAGGUCUUGACCCCUGCCGAACCGGCGCUAACGCACUAAGUACCCCGCCUGGGAAGUACGGUCGCAAGACUAAAACUCAAAGGAAUUG
rnacentral:rRNA from 1 species